AACCAAAUAGCUAGCCUAUCAUUUCAAGUUAAACAAACACAUAUUAAUAACCCCAAAAACACUCACAUAAACAAAUUAAACCAUUCUACCUCCUAAGUAUGGGCGACAAAAAAGAAAACACCUUUAGAGCCAUAGAAAAAGUACCGCAAGGGAACGCUGAAAAAGAAAUGAAAUAAACCAGUAAAGUUAAAAAAAGCAGAGACUUAUUCUCGUACCUUUUGCAUCAUGAAUUAGUCAGUAAAAUUAAGCAAAAAGUAUUUUAGUUUAAUACCCCGAAACUAAGGGAGCUACUCCAAGAUAGCCUAAAAGAAGGGCUAACCCGUCUCUGUGGCAAAAGAGUGGGAUGAGCUUAGAGUAGAGGUGACAGACCUACCGAACUUAGUUAUAGCUGGUUACUUAAGAAAUGGAUAAAAGUUCAGCUUUUUGAUUUCUUCCCUCUAAUUUUGCUUCAGCUUUCACUGAUUUAAAGAAAUCAAAAAAGUUAAUUAAAAGGGGUACAGCCCUUUUAAAAAGACACAACUUCAUCGGACGGGUGCAGAUCAUAUUUAUUAAGGCAGAAUAUUUUAGUGGGCCUAAAAGCAGCCAUCUAUUAGAAACGUUAAGCUCCUUUGUACUACCACCCAUUAAUUCAGAUAAUACAUCUAAACCCGCCAACCCUAUUAAGUCGUCUCAUAUUGUAUGAGAGUGAUUAUGCUAAUAUGAGUAAUAAGAAAACAGACUUUCUCCUUGCACUUGUGUAAAUCGAAACGGACUCUCCAUCGAACCUUAAUACGGCCCCAAAAAAAGAGGGUAAUGAACCAUAACUAUGAUAACAAGAAAAACACCCAAAAACAACCGUUAACCCCACACUGGUGUGCUUACUAGGAAAGACUAAAAGAAAAAGAAGGAACUCGGCAAACAUAAACCUCGCCUGUUUACCAAAAACACCGCCUCUUGCAAACAAAGAAUAAGAGGUCCCGCCUGCCCUGUGACAAAUGUUCAACGGCCGCGGUAUUUUGACCGUGCAAAGGUAGCGCAAUCACUUGUCUUUUAAAUGAAGACCUGUAUGAAUGGCAUCACGAGGGUUUAACUGUCUCCUUUUUCUAGUCAAUGAAAUUGAUCUUCCCGUGCAGAAGCGGGGGUGAUAACAUAAGACGAGAAGACCCUAUGGAGCUUUAGACACAAAGUAGGCCUUGUUAAACACUUCAAAAUAAAGAAAUAAACUAAAAGAACCUCUACCAUAAUGUCUUUGGUUGGGGCGACCACGGGGAAAUAAACAACCCCCAUGUGGAUUGAGAAAACAAUUCUCACAACAAAGAACCACAGCUCUAAUUAACAGAACUUCUGACCUUACAGAUCCGGCUUAAUGCCGAUCAACGGACCGAGUUACCCUAGGGAUAACAGCGCAAUCCUCUUUUAGAGUUCAUAUCGACAAGAGGGUUUACGACCUCGAUGUUGGAUCAGGACAUCCUAAUGGUGCAGCAGCUAUUAAGGGUUCGUUUGUUCAACGAUUAAAGUCCU
rnacentral:rRNA from 1 species